AGGAUGAACGCUGGCGGUCUGCUUAACACAUGCAAGUCGAACGGGCGUAGCAAUACGUUAGUGGCGGACGGGUGAGUAACGCGUGAGAAUCUACCUUCAGGACGGAGACAACAGUUGGAAACGACUGCUAACCCCCGAUGUACCGAAAGGGCAAAUAUUUAUAGCCUGAAGAAGAGCUCGCGUCCGAUUAGCUAGUUGGAGAGGUAAAAGCUCGCCAAGGCGACGAUCGGUAGCUGAUCUGAGAGGACGAUCAGCCACACUGGGACUGAGACACGGCCCAGACUCCUACGGGAGGCAGCAGUGGGGAAUUUUCCGCAAUGGGCGAAAGCCUGACGGAGCAAGACCGCGUGGGGGAAGAAGGCUCUUGGGUUGUAAACCCCUUUUCUCUGGGAAGAACGCAAUGACGGUACCAGAGGAAUCAGCAUCGGCUAACUCCGUGCCAGCAGCCGC
rnacentral:rRNA from 1 species